UAAGGGUUCGAUUCCGGAGAGGGAGCCUGAGAAACGGCUACCACAUCCAAGGAAGGCAGCUGGCGCGCAAAUUACCCAAUCCCGACACGGGGAGGUAGUGACAAUAAAUAACAAUAUAGGGCUCUUUUGGGUCUUAUAAUUGGAAUGAGUACAAUUUAAAUCCCUUAACGAGGAACAAUUGGAGGGCAAGUCUGGUGCCAGCAGCCGCGGUAAUUCCAGCUCCAAUAGCGUAUAUUAAAGUUGCUGCAGUUAAAAAGCUCGUAGUUGAAUUUCGGGACCAUCAUGUCGGUUGUGCCUAGGUACGUACUGGCAUUGUUGGUUUCUCCCUUCUGACGAACCAUGAUGUCAUUUAUUUGGUGUUGUGGGGAAUCAGGACUGUUACUUUGAAAAAAUUAGAGUGUUUAAAGCAGGCUCACGCUUGAAUACAUUAGCAUGGAAUAAUGAAAUAGAACGUUUGAUUCUAUUUUGUUGGUUUCUAGGAUCGACGUAAUGAUUAAUAGGGAUAGUUGGGGGCAUUAGUAUUCAAUUGUCAGAGGUGAAAUUCUUGGAUUUAUUGAAGACUAACUACUGCGAAAGCAUUUGCCAAGGAUGUUUUCAUUAAUCAAGAACGAAAGUUAGGGGAUCGAAGACGAUCAGAUACCGUCGUAGUCUUAACCAUAAACUAUGCCGACUAGGGAUCGGAUGA
rnacentral:rRNA from 1 species